UGUUUAAAGUCACAAGAGGGACUGUCAACACCACUGAAAAAAAAAAAUGAAAUCCUCACCAGUAGUAAAAUUACCAUUUAAAUAUUUUGGUAUUGAAAACCUUAGAGAGAACGUACAGAUUAAAUUAAAUGCCUUAAAUUCAGAUUAAGCUCCAAAAUUAAUGAAAUGCAGAAAGAGGUGUUUUCAGGGAGCAUGGCAGGCACUGAAUUAGGAGUUUGAUUUUUCAAGUCUUCCUUUACAGUGAAUGGAGAGAAAGACGUCUCUCCAGAAUACAGGCAGAGAAUAGGUUCCUGUUCUGAGAAGAAAAAAAAAAAAAAAAAAAAAAGUGAAAAUUUAGGUAAAGUUAUCUUGAUAAAUACCUACUGAAAUAGUUACAGCCGUUCCAAAAUAGCCUUAUUAUCAGAAAGGCAAAGUAGUUUGCUUGCAGCAAAAUAGCCUGAAGGUCCUGAAGGUAGAUCUGUAGCAGAUUUUUUUGAUAGAAAAUGAUUUCAAGAAAACUCAAGUGAGGACACAUAAGAAGUCCUUUGAGAACAUCUUCAGUUCUGCUAAUCUGAUUAUAGCAGUAUUUGCAAAGAACAUUAAAAAUGUUUGUCUCAAUAACAGCCAUACAUCAGUGUGAUGCUACGUAGGCUAGAAGUCUUCAGCAGCCUCAGGGCAGAUGCUUUGCCCUGCCCACCCAAUGUGACAAAGUGCAGCAUCAGUUCAACAUUUCGUUAUUAGUAUGCGUUAUUAGUAUGUGUUCACAAGCAACAAUCUUAUAAAACUAAUAGAGUAGUAACUUUUUUUCAUGCUGAGUUGUACAGCAUACCACGUGUGCUACAAGCAAUUAAACAAGAAAAUAGCAGCCAGGUAAUACAAUGGAUAUUAAAUAAAGAAGUAACAGAUCUUAAAGAGAUCAAUAUAUGAUUGUUGUGUAAACCGUGCAGCCCUUUCAACACAGAAAUCUGGAAAAAUGAAUCUCAUAUCUUCUUUUUCAUGUCUGCAUAUAUAGAUACCUAAUUAUGGUAGAAAUGAAAUAAGCAUUUAAUU